UACGUAGGGUGCAGGCGUUAAUCGGAAUUACUGGGCGUAAAGCGUGCGCAGGCGGUUUGCUAAGACAGGUGUGAAAUCCCCGGGCUUAACCUGGGAACUGCGCUUGUAACUGGCAAGCUAGAGUGUGGCAGAGGGGGGUGGAAUUCCACGUGUAGCAGUGAAAUGCGUAGAGAUGUGGAGGAACACCAGAGGCGAAGGCGGCCUACUGGGCCAGUACUGACGCUGAGACGCGAAAGCGUGGGGAGCGAACAGG
rnacentral:rRNA from 1 species